CCAAAUUUACAGAUUUUAGAAGAUUAAGAUCAGAACUUUUCAUACAUGCAAGUAGCAUUUGUGGAAUAACCAGUUUGGGGUUGUAAGUCAGCAUGAGAUUAUGAACCAUUAAAUUUUGAAGAAGCUGUGUAAGAUUAAAAAUGAAAGAUGCUAUGAAUGAGGAAAUAAAAAAAUAAUAAUAUUGAAGUAAAAUCUUUUUCAAAAGGGAAAGACAUUUGAAGUAAAACAAAUAUACAAAACAAAGAAGAAAACAAAAAGAAAAGUAGAUAGAUACAAAACCUCCCAAUUUUGAAAAUUUUAGAAGAUUAAGAACACUACUUGAAAUUACAAAUUAAGUUUAAGAGAGUAUGUUAGAAAAUAAAUUUGAGUAGAUAAAAAAGUUUCCAAUAAAAAAAAUAAUUUGAUUUAAUUAGUUUCUAAAAGUCAAUUGAAAUAUUUUAGUUUGAGUAAUUCAGUCAUAUUUUAUUACUAGGAGUUUUUAUUUUGUUAAAUACGAGUAUGUAUAGAAAGAUGAUGGAAGAUGAUAAUUUGUUCUUAAUCUUUCUCAAUUAUUCAUCUUUUUUUGUAAAUGUUUGUGUAUUUUUUUCAACCCUACUACUUCAACAAUAAUGUGCUACUUAAUCCUGGAAGCAAAUAUAAAAAAGAUGGUUAGUUAUGGUUAUGAUGGUUUUUGCCCUUCUCAUUAAAUUUGAUAGAUGAUAAAAAAAAAUAAAAAAGAACUCUUCAUGAGUUAAUCCUAUUUACCAGCAGGAAUUAUAUGGAAUUUGAAAGUCAAAAAAUAUAUAGUUAAGCUUCCAUUGUUGAUAAUCUUGUCGUAUGAAAUUUAAUUACAAAGUCCCAUUGGAGGAUAUAUUAAACUUGUUCAACAUCAGUGUCUGAUUUUUGGUUUGAAAUAGACUUUCUGUUAAGGGUCAUCGUUGAAUGGUGGCUGUAGAGUUGAUCCAUUAUUGACUUGGUAUGUUGAGUGCUCCACUUGUGAUGUGGAGUCACCAUAUCACAAACACUACAACCCCACCAUGAUCUUUUCCUUCAAGAAAAACUUUCCCUGCUUUAAGUUCAACCAGCUUGAUCAUCAUAGAGAUGCCUUGUCUUUUACUUUGUCCAGAAUAUUCCACUUUUCUCUUAAAUUUUAUGGUCAAAAAUCGCACUAGCAUCACAUCACAGCAGUCAUGUUGCUGUGUUGCACAUUACUUGGAAAGUGGGAUUUUUUAUAAUUAUACGGUGAAUUUAAAAUUAAUUUUUAAAAAUAUAGUCUAAUAAAAAAUAUUUAUAAAUCUACGUACUUUUUGCUACUUUAAAAAACUUUCUUGUAAACAUAUAUUUCAUAAUUUUUAUAUUAAUGAUACACGUUUUAAAAAAAUUGAAUUUUCUUUUGAAAAGACCUUCCAUAAUUUUUAUAUCAACAACACACCUUAAAAAAAUUUGAAUUUACAUUAAAAGUAUUUCUUCAAAAGACAUCUUUUAUUAUUUUAUAAAAUCAAAUUUAUAUUAAAAACGUCUUUUAAAGAGAUUUUUUACAAUUUCCAUAUCAAUUGCAUGAUAAAAAAAAUUGAAUUUAUACUAGAAGUAUUUUCUUAAAACACUUUCUUCAAUUUCACAAAAUGCUCCAUCCACUUUUAAUAUAUAUAUAUAUAUAAAAGUCAAUGUAUGAUUAUGCAUUAGUAUCAGUCUAUAUAGCAUGUGCGAUUGAGCCUGUUAGAGAAUUAAAUUCAAGACAUUUAGAACCGAAAGCAUUGUUUGUCAAAGAUAGAUGGUGGAUGAUGACCCAGAAUAUUUUCCUUCUGAUCUAUGAAUGGAUGGAUGAGAAACUCUUCAUGAAUGAAUCCACCUUUGAGAAGAAACGAUGUGGGCAUAUCAGAACAUUAAAGACGGUGUGGCUUUUAGUGAAACUUGGAGUGUUGAUCAUCUUAGAAAAUUGAUUGGAUGAAAUUUCACUGAAACUCCUUUGGAAUCGACUGUGGUCCAGAAUAAAUUAUUUCCUUUGCUUUUGCUUCAAAAUGGACUCCCUUCUCUGCUAAGAGGUUCUUGUUGAAUACAAGUUGACCCAAUUUGUGACAUAUGAAGGAAAGAGUUGAGAAACUGGAAUCAUACCUUGUGAUUGAACUAAAGAUUGUUGCCCAACUCCUAUUGAUCAAAAUGACAGCGUUGGCCCAUUUUGAUAAAUAAAAAAAAACAAUAACCAUCAAGUCAUUGAAAAAGCAAUAUUUCACAUCUAUCCUCGAAGUUCACACUCUACAAAGAGACAAAGGCCCAACCAAGCUAUAGAGAUUUCCAAAAGAUACGGGUGAAAUUAAAUUUUGAUGGAUCCCACAAAGAUGUGGAGAGGACAGUUCCAUCAAGAUGAUUAUCAGAGAUGGGAACUUUUAAACGCAACUCCACCAUGAAUUGUCCUGUCCAAGGGUCACCAUCUUUGUGGUCUCACAAUGGUAUGUAUAUAUAUAUAUAUAUCAAGGCUAUAAAGAAAAGGACAACCCUAUGCUUGCUUAAUGCCAGAUAGAUUUGUCCCUCCCUGUAUAAGGCUAUUCUUGCUUAAUGCCAGAUAUAUAUAUAUAUAUUAUUAUUCGUUGUUUUGUAAACAUAGUCCUAUUAGAUAAGAUUUUAAUUGUAGAGAUAGUAUGGAACUAAUUGCUCAUUACAAAUUAAUUUGUAGUUCAUUCUCACUACAAGUUAAUUGAAAAACACACGGCUUAAUGAGGCUUUGCAAAGGAAAAAGAAAAAAGAAAAUUUUUGUAAUUGAUAACACACAGGCUUUAUAAGGCUUUGCAAAGGAAAAAAGAAAAAAAAUUAAUGAGGCUUUGAAAAGAAAAAAAAAAAAAAAAACUUGAUCGUAAGUUAGAAGGGAGUAUUACAAAGAUAAAUUCCAGCUCAAAAUUGGCUUAGAAAAUUGUAUCUUACAUUUUUGGUAAAUUAAUGAACAAAUUAAAAUUGAGUUGAAAAGGAAUAACAUAGCAAAUUAAAAUGAAAGCCAGCAAUACCAAUUAAAAAUAAUGCAGGAGUGCACACAAACAACUAAUUGGAGAGGAAUACGAAAGACAAGACCACUUGAUAGACAAUAAAGGCGACAAAAAAAUCCCAAUCAACACCACCACUUUCAACUAACAUUUCAAACGAAAGGAGCCAACAAAGACUGAUAGCUGAAAAUAAAAGUCCUGCACAUCAUAUCGAACACAAAAACUUGGUAGUCUGGAGUCUUUCUUAAUAGUUAUUGUGAAAGACCCUAUUGAAAUAUUAUACUAACAGGAAUAAAUAGAAAAUAGGGUAUAUGUAUUUUAUGAGACACCCAUAACAGCAUAGGCUGAUAAUAAUUGUAAUCGAUUUUCUUAGCCUGUUAACAAGCUAUUAUAAGUCUAACCUACAAGGAAGGACUAGUACUGAUGCCGGAAUAAAUAACCCCAAGCACAACUAUGGAGCCUUGACAAUCCAAAUACGCAUAAACCACACUUCUAGCAGGGCCUUAAGCUAUUGUUCUCCAUUUUCUAAUGGCCGGCCCAAUCUCUCUCCCUCUCUACGAAAAGUUGCCCCAGAAGAAUAUAGUCCAGAGAGUGUUGGACGUCACCAUUUUCUUCCUUCUCCUCACUCUCCUUGCUUAUCGUAUCCUCUCCCUCAAAAGCAAUGGCUUCAGUUGGCUUGUGGGUUUUGAUAGAAACAAAGUGUAGAAACUCUCAGGAAGCAACAGAACGUUGAGGAAUCUGAAGUGAUAUAUUUUAUUAAGCUUCAAAGUACUUAUUUAUACAGCUAGCUUAAAACAAAAAAACAUAAAAAAAUAGCAACAAACCUACUACCUAAGAUACUUUCUAAAGAAUAGAAACAAACCAACAAAUACUUACUAAGGAAUAGGUAUAUCUUCCACAUGACUAACUUAUUUGACUACUUUCACUUCAAUCUACUCAGCUCCAUGUCAGCAGCUCCUAGGACAUGUCAUUCAACACUCCUCCUUGUCUCUGGAGCUGCAGACUCCAAGCCUUUGCCUCAAGAACUCAUAUCUAGCUUUGGGAAAUGGCUUGGUUAAGAUAUCAGCAUUCUGACUUUCUGUUUUGCAAUAGACCAAUUGUAUUUCUCCCUCCUUCUGUACCUUUCUUAGGAAAUAGAGUUUCAACUUGAAAUGUUUUGUUUUGCCAUGGAACACCAGAUUAUUUGCAAUUGAAAUUGUAGCUUGGUUGUCUACGAGUAUUUGUGUGCUUUCCUUUUGCUCCAUAAACAAGUCAACCAUCAAUUUUCUGAUCCAGAGAGCUUGAUUCACAGCAACAGUUACAUAUUCUGCUUCUGCUGUGGAUUGAGCUAUGACUUCUUGCUUUUUGGAACACCAUGAAAAAAUAGCAGAACCGAUACCCUAAAGUACUUCUCAUGUCGUCAAUUCAACCUGCCUAAUCACUAUUUGAAUAACCAUGGAGAGUAAAGUUUUUAACUUGACAAAACCUCAUACCAUAGUCAAUUGUACCCUUGACAUAUCUGACAAUUCUUUUUGCUGCUUGAAAGUGAAUUUCACUAGCACGAUGCAUGUACCUUGAGAGUAAACUUACAACAUUCAUAAUAUCUGGUCUAGUUGUCGUUAGGUACAUCAAGCACCCGAUAAUGGUCCUGUAAAGCCUUUCAUCAGCUUUUGUAGCUCCAUCUUCUUUGCAAAACCUCUCAUUUUGAUUCAUUGGAGUUGCACUUGGAUUGCACUCUUCCAUCUUGAACUUUUUCAAGAUUUCCUUGGCAUAUUUCUAUUGACAUAUGAAGAUCUCAUUCUACUUUUGUUGUACCUCCAUGCCAAGAAAGAAUGUCAUCCUCCUAAGAUCAGUCAUCUCAAAAACAUUCUUCAUUUCCUUUAUGAAAUUGUCAAUUUGCUCCAUAUUGCUUCCUGUCACAAGUAGAUCAUCAACGUACAAAGAUACUACAAGUGUUUCAUCACCUUCUUGAAGUAUAGAGUAAAUUCGCUUAGGCUUUUUCUAUGUUGAAUGACAUGCCCUAGGAGCUGUUGACAUGGAGCUGAGUGGAUUGAAGUGGAAGUAGUCAAAUAAGUUAGUCCUGUGGAAGAUUUACCUAUUCCAUAGGAAGUAUUUGUUAGUUUGUUUCUAUUCUUUAGGAAGUAUCUAUAGGUAGCAGGUUUGUUGCUAUUUUUUAUGUUUUUCUGUUUUAAGCUAGCUAUAUAAAUAAGUACUUUGAAGCUUAAUAAAAUAUAUAGUCUAGAGAGUGUUGGACGUCACCAUUUUCUUCUUUCUCCUCACUCUCCUUGCUUAUCGUAUCCUCUCCCUCAAAAGCAAUGGCUUCAGUUGGCUCCUCGCAUUACUCUGAGUCAUGGUUCACCUUUGUUUGGGUUGUUAUACUCAGCUCCAAAUGGAAUCCAGUGGUGUACCGCACAUAUCCAGAACACCUUUUAUUUUGAUAUCUGAAUAAUUGUCUGAGUUCAACUCUUAUCAUUCAUUAAUUUAAUGUGUUACCUCAUAUAUUACCUUUUCUGCUUUGAUAUUUUGCCUUCACUUCUCCAUGUGUAUACAUAUUUCAUAUUGUUUGUCCAAAACUUUAUACUAUGAUUUUCUCAAUAGGCUUGAUGAGCUUCCUCCAGUCGACAUGUUUGUGACAACUGCAGAUCCCACUCUAGAACCGCCUAUCAUCACUGUUUACACAGUCCUCUCCUUGCUAGCAGUUGACUAUCCAGCUAACAAGCUUGCUUGAUAUGUAUCUGAUGAUGGCUGUUCACCUCUCACCUUUUAUGCUCUCCUCGAAGCAUCCAAGUUUGCUAAGCUUUGGGUUCCCCUUUUUAAGAAGUAUGGUAUUCACACAAGAGCUCCCUUUAGAUACUUUUACGAUGAGGAGGAAUCACCCCAUGAUAAUUCAACAGAGUUCAUCCGAGAAUACACAAAGAUGAAGGCGAUUCAAGCAAUUACAUUAAGUAAGACAAAUAAUUUGAGAAAAAAAUAAAAAUUGUCUUUUUAAUUGUAAUUUUUAAAAACCUAGAAAAUCUAAGUUAAACUUUUCAACAAGAGAAAUUUCAAAAAGUGUUUCUAAAGUAAGCAUAUAGGAUUCCUAAAAGAGUUAGGUGGUGUUUGUUUUUUACUUAUUUCUAAAUAGAACCUUAAUGCUUAAUAAUGUUAAAUAUUAUAUUAUUUAUUUUUGUAGUAUUUUAUUUCUAUUAAGUAUUAAAAAGUAAAGAAAAACAAAUAUGUUAUUUUUUCUGUUUAGAAAAAAUUAAGUAUUUUGGUUUUUUUAUUAAAUAAAAAGUUUAUAUUAAGUUAUGAAAAAGUAGAAAAAUAAAUAAUCUAAAUUCUAAAAAUAAAUUAUUUUAAGCAAAAAACCGAAAAAACAAACAUCCUCUUAAAUUUUUAUAUUAAGAAUAGCAAUACUUCUGCAAAACUUUUCAAGAAGUUUUUAAAAAUCCUUUUCAGGUUAGAUAUUGAAUAAUAAAUAAAAAAUUCUUUUCUUUCUCUUUUCAAAUUAUGCCUUUUUUCCUGUCAUGGUAUAUAGCAACAGUUAAAUAAAAACUCCGCAAAUAUUUGCCAUAAGUAUUGUGCAUCCUUUGUUAAACUGUCUUCAUCUCUUUGUAGGAUGAAUAUGAAGUGCUCAGAAGGAAAAUUGAAGAUGCAACCGAAAAGUCCAUACCAUUGUGAUCUUAGUUCUGAAGAGUUUGUUGCUUUCUCAGAUAUAGAAAGGAGAAAUCAUCCCAGUAUCAUCAAGGUAUAUAAAUAUCUCACUUAUUGAUCAUUACUUAAUUUCAAAAUAGACGAUGAAUCUUAAUCUAAUUUCGAGAUUAGAAAGACAGUACAACUAAUUUGUUUUUUGCAUAGAAAUCAAAUGAGUUUUCCAUCAGCCCCAACACACACACUGACAUGUUCAGUGAGUGUGUUAAUUUCUUUUUUCUUUCCUUUUUUUUUUCCUUUAAUUAGAAGAUAUUAUUUAUCAGUGUUUGGAUUAUUUUUAAAAAGACACAACAAAUUUAAAGCCGUAACCUUUUUGUUGACAUGAGAAACCGAAACAGUACUAAACGAAAUAUCACUGGGCAAAUUAAUAGUAUUCCAUAGACGUUCGAUUAGUAAUUAAUGCUGGUGCACUUGCAGCCUAAAAUAGGCUAUUGAUAUCAGAGUACUGUGCUGAAGCUUAUUCAAAUGACCGCCUGAGUAUAUCCCGUUGGACCUUCAUUUCCUCAAUACAUGGCCAAAGAUAAAUUCAAGAAUUAGAUUAGCUAUUGUUUAUGCAAGCAUGAGAUCUUACAUCAUUCUAAAAUCUUAAAGUGAAAGCGAUAUUAUUCUUCCCUACUGAGUAAUAUUACAAUGUGAUGUUCCAUAUCGAAUAAGAGAGAAAGUUUCUAGUACUAUAUAUGUAGAGACUCCUCUUAACCAAAUAGACGCGUUUUAAAGCAAUGAGGGUCUCUUUGGGUCCAAAAUGGACAAUAUCUACAUGGUUGGAUACAGGUUGUUACAAAUGGUAUUAGAACCGAUCCUCGACCUCGGUGUGGGGUUUGUUUGGGUGUUCGUUUGUUUGGCCCCACAAUCCCAUGGGACACAACGAGAACAUUGUGUCUGCAUGGGGGGGGGGGGGGGGGGGGGGGGGUUUUUUAAUUUUUCCCCCGAAAAGGGGAAAAAAUUCCCAACCCCAAAUUUUUAAGGGCCCCCUUUAACCAAAGGACCGUUUUUUAAACCCAAAGAACCCCUUUUGAUUAAAAAAAAAAAAAAUUAACAUGGGGGGGACAGGGGCUUUAAAAAAGGGUUUAAAACCCAUCUUCCCCCCCCGAAUGAAAUUUUUUUGGGCCCCCAACCCCAAAAAAAAAAAAANNNNNNNNNNNNNNNNNNNNNNNNNNNNNNNNNNNNNNNNNNNNNNNNNNNNNNNNNNNNNNNNNNNNNNNNNNNNNNNNNNNNNNNNNNNNNNNNNNNNGGGGGGUGUUUGUGAUGUUCUACAUCGGAUAUGGGAGAAAGUUCCUGACGCUAUAUAUGUAGAGGCUCCUCUUAACCAAGUGACGCGUUUUAAAGCCAUAAGGACUCCUUUGGAUUCAAAGUAGACAAUAUCUACAUGGUUGGAUACAGGUCAUUACAAAUGGUAUUAGAGUCGAUCUUCGACCUCGGUAUGAGAUUUGUUUGGUCCCGCAAUCCCAUAGGACAAAACGAGGACAUUGUGUCUUCAUGGGGGAGUGUUUGUGAUGUCCCACAUCAGAUAGGGGAGAAAGUUCCUAGUACUAUAUAUAUAGAGGUUCCUCUUAAUCAAGUAGACGCGUUUUAAAGCCGUGAAGACCUCUUUGAGUCCAAAGCGGACAAUAUCUACAUGGUUGAGUGUGGGUUGUUACACACAAUCUUUUAUAUCUUUUUCCAUAUAAACAAACAUAUAAGCUUUGCUUCCAGAACCAAUAAUACUACGACCAAAAUGGAGCAUUUAUUGAACAAUUCACACUGAUUUAGAUUGCUUCUUUGUAGGUUAUAUUGGAGAACAAGGAGGGCCUCGUGGAUGGAUUGCCACAUCUAAUCUAUGUAUCCAGAGAGAUGUGCCCAAAGCAUCCGCACCAUUACAAAGCUGGUGCACUGAAUGUUCUGGUAAACAAUUUCCUUGAACUAGUACUAUUCAUACCAUGUCUAGUAUCUAAUUAGUUUUCCCUGGUUGUUUUAUAAACAGACUAGAGUUUCAGGAGCAAUGACAAAUGCUCCUUUCAUCUUGAAUGUAGACUGUGAUAUGUACGCCAACAAUUCACAGAUUGUUUUUCAUGCAAUGUGUUUGCUCCUUGGUUGUAAGAAUGGACAAGACUUUGCAUUUGCUCAAUCUCCACAAAUCUUCCAUGAUGGUUUAAAGGAUGACCCACUCGGAAAUCAACUAGUAGCUACGCAGAAAGUACGUUAAAUAUUCAAAAUCUAAAAAUUGAUCUCUUCCAUACUAUAAAGCACAUGAGCUAUUUUUGGAUGGGAACUGUGAAGAUUUUUUGCUGAUAGAGAAACUUCUUUUGUUUUUCUUAUUAAUAUGUUUCAAUCAGUAUUUGGGUGAAGGAAUAUCAGGGCUUCAAGGACCUUACUAUUCUGGUACUGGAUGUUUUCAUCGGAGAAAAUUUCUCUAUGGGUUAUGGCCAGAUGGCUGCAUGGAAACCGGAGGAAGAAGUCCUAAUUGUGUGGCUGGUAAGAAAAUUAAUCUACUUUUGACAAUCAUCUUUUAUUACAUUUUUCUUCUUGUUUUGUUGGGAUUACAAAUAUUGUAGAAACCUCUGCAUGAUAAUUUUUCUAUACUUUUUGGUAGGCAAAUUAACUGAUGAGGGAUUACGACAAUCUUUUGGACAUUCAAAGGAAUUCUCUAAAACGGUUGAAAGGAUUUUAUCAGGGUUGAGUGGGAAGGCCGAUUGUCCAUAUGAUCUUUCAAGUUCUGCAGAGGCAGCAAACCAAGUUGCAGAUUGUGGCUAUGAGUGUGGCACUAGUUGGGGUACAAAGGUGAGUUGUAAAAUAAUUUGAACAACCAAAAAUGCUUGAAAGCAGAAUGGUUUGGGACUUAAAAGAUUAGGGUUAAAAGGCUUUUACCUAAGAGACUGAACAAAAGACUUCAUAGCAUAUUUUUUCUCUAGAACAAAAUACACCAUUGAUGAAAGUUUAAUGGUAACCUCUAUCACAACAUAGCCAGUAUACAGUAUUUUCGCAAAUUGACGUAUUGGCCAUGCGGGCCGUGAUCUCAGAAUGGUUGGAUAUAUGGAUACACUAGCGAAGACGUUCUUACAGGACUGAAGAUUCAUGCAAGAGGUUGGAGAUCUGCCGAGUGCAAGCCUGAUCCACCUGCAUUUCUCGGCUGUUCUCCCUCAGGAGGACCUGCUUCAUUGACCCAGCAAAAGAGAUGGGUCACAGGCCUCCUCGAGAUCCUGUUCAGCAAGAAUAACCCAUUCAUUGCUACCCUCACUGCCAAGCUCCAAUUCCGCCAAUGCCUCGCAUACAUGUACAUUCUUUCAUGGGGUCUACGGUUGAUUCCUGAGCUUUGCUAUACUGCUUUGCCAGCAUAUUGCAUCAUCGCCAAUUCACAUUUCUUGCCCAAGGUGAGGAGAACCUACAACCUUCCAAUUUCUUCACAUAUCAUAAUUACUUCACUUAGUUUUCUGUGGUCUAUAUAUGCUGGAUUUUCAUUUGACGGUUCUUAUAUAUGAUGGUUAUUUCUCAUAUUUGUCUCAUUCUUGAUCUGAUAAGUCCAUUAUUCUAUGUUGGCAUAUACUUUGGCCUAUUUAUGGAUCAAAAUUGACCUAACAAUGAAAUGUCCAACUCAGAUAUAGUUUUGUGACCCUGGUUUGAUAAAGGUUAAUCUAUGAAAUAAUGUCAAGAUAUCCUAUGGCGACUCGUCAUUUGAAUGGCCAGCUUGACGCCAAGGUAUAGAAGUUAAUAUCAUAAAAAACCGUCUUGAAUGGCUAGCAUUUUGCGCAGGUAUAGAUGUUAACAUAUAUAAUUUGAAUCUAGUUAGUCCAACAUUUGUCAAGACAUAUAUUGGUGGCAAUGAGUCUACAUAUCUUUUGCUUAGACUUAGGCCUUGUUUCUGAUAACUUCUUUCUUCUUUAAGUAGAAGUUGAAUCGAAAUUGAAGUCGAUCGUAAUUCUCCAAGGAUAAUAUUAAUAUAAUAAAAGUUCCAUUAAACAUCAAAUAACUUCUUAUAUAAACUAAAAUAGUACUUCUAUGAGAAAUAAUAUUUUCCUUACUUUCAUUUAAGCUAUCUUAAGUCAUAUAUUCUUUUAACAAAUUCAUAUAAAUGUGUACAAAAGUUUUUAUACAUUGAAAUUUACAAAGAACUUUGGCUUCUCACAAGCCAUUCCAGAUAAAGCCUUAAUAUAUAUGGAAUCCACUUAGAUAAAAGUUACUUAUAGAAUCACCAUCAUCAGCCCAUAUAACGUAUUGAAGUAUUAAUGUUGCCUCUUAGAACAAUCUUGAGUGAACUUGCUUAAAAUAGUUAAUAAAAUUUUAAGUUCAGAAACCUUUUCAUGUAAUAUGUUAACCAAAAGCAUCUCUGGCUCCAAAUCUGUGGAAAAUAGUUUUUGAACUAUAAAUCUUAUUUCUAGUUUAAAGUGUAUAAUUAAUAUAAUUAUAUAAUCUGCAAGGUACUUUUAAAUUAAAUUCUAUCAAGAUCUUAAAAUGUGCAAAUUCAUGCAUGCAUGCAGGUUGAGGGAACCAGCCUUCUUGAUACUAGCAGCUCUCUUUGCCAUUUACAACCUUCACUCUCUACUUGAAUACUGUAGAAUUGGGCUCUCAAUCCGAACAUGGUGGAACAACCAAAGGAUGGGAAGAAUAAUCACCAUGACUGCAUGGUUUUUUGGAUUUUUAAAUGUCAUACUGAAGCUCUUGGGCUUGUUCGAGGCUGUCUUUGAGGUUACACAAAAGAACCAAUCUAGUGCCCCUGGCGAUGACAACCACAAGGAUCUGGUCGAUUCACAUUCAAUGAGUCCCCAAUUUUUGUUCCAGCCACUACUCUUGUGUUGGUGCACCUGGUGGCAAUGGUUAAAGCCCUGUUAAACCUAACUCAUGGAAGGCAUGAAUCAAGGAUAGGAGAGGUGAUAUGUAAUGUGUGGGUGUUGUUAUGCUUCUUACCUUUUCUGAAAGGGCUGUUCAAGAAAGGAAAAUAUGGCAUACCCUCAUCCACCAUAUGCAAAUCAGCAGCAGUUUUUGUGCACUUGUGCAAAAGGGUCUCAAUAGCUUGAGAUAAUGGAUAGAAUACCUUGAGAUAUCUUUGCUAUUUUCAUGUUUUGCAGUACUUCAUAUGAAUAAAAUGGAUUUAAUUUUACAUCAUAGAAUUUAUGUUUCAUGCUCGAUAAUUCUUUGAGUCCCCUAGCGGAAGGACAUUAAAUUUGUAAUAAUCCAUGAGUAUCAGGAAUCAAACACAAGAAAGAUGCGUAAGGCUAGUUGAGAGGGGUGUAGAAGUCGAAGCUUAUGUGUGGUCUGAUAGUGGAGAUUUUCUAAAAGCAAGAUAAAACAAAACAAGAGUUGGUGAUGUAAACAUUGAUACCAUCAACAUUGAUAUCCAUUUUUAGGGAUAUGAUUGUACAAGGUGCUAUUGCAGUGAAAAAAAUCCCUAUAAUGGACAAUCUUGGAUAAAUGAUGACUAAGUUUGUUAUUACAAUUAAGUUUAUAUAUUGCUUAAACUUAAUUGGUAUUAGUAGCAUCUAUAGACCAUUUGAGGGUGUGGAAGUGAAGUAACUUGGAAGACUUUUCAGUUUGUUUGAACCUUGGGAAUUUGAGCCAAGGUAGAAAUUGUUGAAAAGUGUCUCAAAUUUUAUUUUUGAGUUAAUUGGAAAGUUAUAAAUAGUUUCCUGAUAAAAAAAUAUUCUUGUAAGUGGGUUUCCUAUUAUUAUAAAGGAAAUAUCCUAUUGCGAGAUCUUCUUUUAGGAAAAAACAUCUUUGAAAAUUAUUCAUUUAGUUUCUUAUAUGGAAUCUUUCUAUAUAACUAGGAAAAUAUAUAUAGGAAGAGAUUUUGACCAAAAUAAAGAGUCUCUUUUUGGGUGUAAUUGGGACUUUAAGAUUUGAGAGCUCUAAAUUGAAGAUUUCUAAAACAUCAGAAGAUUCCAAGCAUAACAAACUAGUACUAAAGCUUUUGCUGACACAACAAUUAAAAGGAGAGCAAACAAGCAAAUGGGUUUUGGUGGAAAAUAUAUAUGUGCUUAGUAUUUUGAUGAGAACUUGUGAUAAGGUGUAAGUCACUAUAUUCAAAAUCAAAAUACCAACUUUAAUCUUUAAUUAUUGCUUUCAUUAACUUCUUAAUUUUUAAUUACAUAAAUUUCAAUAACAUGAGGAGAUGAUGAACAUACAUAUAGAUUUUUUGCAAUGUUAUUUCUUUGGUUAACUUCUUAAUUUUUAAUUACAUAAAUUUCAAUGACGCCAUGGUGAAAGUGUAUAUAGAUUUGUAUGAAACAUUGCAAAAUUCUUUGCUAUUUAUUUUGUGCUAACUUAGAAAGAUCAAUUACAAUUCAAUUACUAUAGUUCUCAUAGAAAGCUAUUUCUUUGAAAUUAAUCUUCAAGUAAUUAUGACAGAAUAAAUUUCUCUAAAAUUAACUCUUGACCAAAGUAUAUAAUCUUACUAUUAAUACGUAGAUAGAUAUGAAGAAAGUCUUAAGAUGAUAUUAUUAAAUGACAUUUUUACCUAUGAUUCUCAAUAAAAAUAAAAAUAAAAAUGAUUUUUAAGAUAAAGGAAAAUAUUACUAAUAGUUGAAAUAUUAGAUAAAAGUAUAUCAUUAAAAUUCAAAAUUAUUUGACAUUUUUACCUAUGAUAACAAAAAAUAAUUUCCAUAGUAAGUGGAAUAUUAUUUACAAUUAAUCUAGCAAAAUAGAAGUAUAUAACAACUACAAUAGAAUGAUUACUAUUACCAUUCAUUGUAAAAAUGGGUUUAAAUUGAGAAUACAUGAACAUGGAACCACACACAGAUAAAUGUGAUUCAAUAAUUAGUUUUGAUAUCAUUUCCACAACAAUAAAAUAAAGUGAUAUUACUGGACAUUUACUUAAAUAAAACUAUAUUUUUUAAUAUUUUCUAUAUUAUAAAGUGACUAAUACAUUUUAUAUAUUUUAUAUAAUCAUCUUACUAUGAUAAAAAUUUAUGACAUAUAUUUAAGAGUAUAAAAGUACGGCUGUAGAUUUUUUUUUUUUAAUUAUUUUUCUUGUUUUACUUUUUAUGUUUGUCUUUUUUAUGUCACAAUAUUGAGGUGUGAUGGCCUUUAUUUUUUAUGUAUCAUUAAUUUUUUAGUUUUUCACAUUCUUGAAAACCUUUUAUUUAAUAAAAUAGUUAAAUUCUCACUAUCUAAAAAUAUUUUUUUUAUAAAUUAUUAGCUUUAAAUUAAUUUAUUAAUUAUAUUUCACUAUCAUUUGAUGUUUGUUGCAUAAAUAAAAUGAUAAUCUGGGUCAUGGGACCAUCAAAAUAAAAAUACGUUUAUAAACUCUAAUCUCUUUUAAUAUUUCAAUUUGAAAUAGAAACUCUUAAAUUUGUGUGUAUUUGGAUAAAUUUAUCUCUUAAAGGACUUUUUGCAAAAGCGUUAUGUGGCGAUGUGCACUUGCAAUGAUAAAAGGUCAAAUAUUGAUGUAAUUUUAAGGUAAUUGUAUAUCAUUAAGUUAUUUUUUAUUAUGUGUUAUUAGUUAUAAAACACACAUAUGUUCUAAUAUGUCUAAGGGUCUCCAAAAAGCCCGCGGGCCGCGGCCCGGCCCGACGGGCUAAAGCCCGGCCCAAGCCCGGCCCGAGCCCGUUUAUGGGCGGGCCGGGCCGCGGGCCUAAAUUUAGGCCCGACGAGCCGGCCCAGCUCGGCCCGUAGGCCCGCCUUUAAUUUUUUUUUAAAAAAUAAUAUACUUUAUUUUUAUAUAUAUAUAAGUAAUUCAUUUAAUAAGUACAAAAGGAAUGUAGCUUAAUUGGUUAUAGCCUUAAAAUUUAAGCUUGAGGGGAGGGGUUCGAAUCCCUCCUUCUCCCUUCCUUUAUUUAAAAGCCAUUUUGGCUUAUUUAAAAAAGCCCGCGGCCCGGCCCGCUGGCCCGGCCCGCCCAGCCCGGCCCGCCCAGCCCGUCCCCCAGCCCGCCAGCCCACUAGCCCGUGGGCUUAUAGGCCGGGCCGCGGGCCUAGCAUUUUAGCUCGGCCCGGCCCGGCCCGCCCGUUGGAGACCCUUAAAUAUGUCAAACUAAAAGUGAAAAUGAUCAAUAAAUAUAUUUGACUUAUUAAUUAAGUUUCAAAUUUCAGGAGAAAAAAAUAUAAGAAAAGUAAAGCGAGGGAUAGGAUAUAUGAAUAGGUCUAAGCCUUUAUAUGUUCGACGGAAUGCAAACACCAAUAAAUAAUAUUAGAUACAACAUAAAUGUUAUAUUUAAAAUAAUAAUUGAUUUUAUUUUAAUAUAAUUCUAAAUCAUUAUUAUAAAUAAUAAAAUAAAUUACUAAUAAUCAUAACAAUUUCAUAUUGUAUUACAAUAAUUAAUUAUAUAUAAAUAAUUUACAACCUUUUACUAUUUCAUUUUGAAUGUAACCAUUCUUGUAUAGAAGUUUCAUGACUAACAUAGACCUCAAUUAGAUGCAAAAUCAAUUUUUAAAAAAAAAGUUUAAUAUAUUUUACCCCCUCAGUCUAUCUCAUGUUUUACACAUUUCCCUUUUAGGUUUAAAAUCAAACAUAUUGAACCACAAACUUCUUAAAUUGCAACACUCUAUCUUUUUUGUUGGAUGGUAUUAGUUUAAAUGGACAAAAAUCUCACGUGUUGUGCACAUGACUAACUAAUGAAGGGUAGACGUGUAAAUUCCCAAACCCAAAAAUCCCUAAACAGCUCUUCCUCUCUCAAUCUUCAUCUUUGUUUUCGUUUGUAACACAUUGCACCCCUAGUCCUUUUUUUUUUUUUUUUUUUUGACAAUAAUGCUUAGUCACAAAAAAUAAUAACUCUUUUACUUUCUUAUAACAUAUUUUAGAACAACUAUUCUAAAAUCUCAAAUUAUUUGUAUGUGUGUAUAUGUACUUUUCUUAUAAAAUUUUUUACAUCACAAGUGAUUAAACCACACAAAUUUAUAAUAGAUAUAGGAUUAUUGUUUUUUUUUACAUAUAUAAUACAUCACAUAUGUAUUUACUAUUAUAGUAUAUAAUAUUUAAUCAUGAAAAAUUAAAUAGAUAAAUAAAAAUGAUAUUAGAGAUUUAUAUCUAUUUCAUGAUGAAUAAAUAUCAUGGUAAUAGCAUUUGUUAUUUUGCAAUGAUAAAAGUUAAAACUUAGGAAAAUUUAAAAUUUGAUUUUUCAUUUUUGACAUAAACAAUUUUAUUUUAAAUUUAAAAUCUUCGUUUCUUUGACAUUUCUUUUUCUUUUUUAAAGAUAAUAAUGUUUGUAUGCAAAUAAGAAUUGAUAACGAAUGAAAAUUAACUUGAAAUCUUAAUUUCUUUUCUCAAUCUUUUACUGUUUUAUCGAUAUAAUUAUGGAAAAUAAUUUUAAUUUGAGAUGAAUGUAAAGAUAGUUUUAAUUUUGAAUUCAAUUAAAAGUACAAUAUAUCUUUUUUAACAUCAAGUGGUUUAUAGAUGAGAUGACAAAAAAAAGUGGUUAGAGGGUGAAAUAUCAUGAGCUCAAAUCAUAACAAUUACAAGUUAAUACUAUGAUCAUUAAAGGGUUAAAAUGUCUUCCCUAUAAACCUAAGAUAGGUGUUGGGACAGUUGUUAUGACUUUAGAAAUUGAUUCAACCAUAAAACAUUCCUAAAGCAUAAACAAUAAAUUAUCAUUAAAAAAUCUUUUAUCACAAAACUAGAUAAAACAUGACCAAUAAUUUAUUAUUAAAAAAUCUUUAGCAAUAAAACUAGAUUUGUCACUAAAGAUAUCUCUUUUGUGAUGAAAACUUUUGUCAAAAAGAAUAUGGAUUUUGUGAUGAAACUAUAUAAUUGUCAAAAAAAAAAAAAAAUUAAUGACAAAAUGGUAUGAUCUAAUGGCAAAAUUAUUUUAUUUUCUAUAAUUUUUUAUUUAUUUAUUUGCAUCAUAAAAUUGUGAUAUUCCAUGACAAUUCCAAUUUCAUCACCAAAACUUAAUAUUUUAUGACGAAAUAGAAGAUUUGUAAAUCAUGAAUUUUAGUGACAAGCUUUUGUCAAUGAACCUUGUCACAAAAAAAUUUCUUACAAUACCCUAUUAGUGACAAAUUAUUGUUUAUUUAUGACAAACACUUUUGUGGCAAAAACUAAUAUUUGUUGUAGUGCACAGAAUAAAGUCGCAUACCUCUAAAGAGGUUUAUAUAGGCUUCCCUGUGGACUUAAGUAAUUUGAAUCCAUGUUGGGUUUGAGCCACUAAUCUAACCUACUUGGGUCAUAAUUAAUGAAGUAACCAUAUUUGGCUCCAAUAAAUUAAUCAACCUAGUCCAAAAAGACCAUGCAUGCUCUUUUGCACAACCUUUUAUUUUUACCAAAAUGUCUUUAUGCACAUAUGUUAACAAGGAACCUAAAUAUCCCUUAAUAAAUUUGUCAUCAAGGAAUAUGACUUAAGUGAUGCCCAUAAGGACCCAUAAGAAAAUAUUGGCUUCCUCAUAAUUAGAUUUUUAAGUUGACCAACACGUCGCAACAGAUAAUCAACUACACUCUAGUAUUCAUAAUCUAACAAGGUAUACGUUAUCAAUCUCUCAAGAUUAUCUUUUCAAUCAUUGAGAUUCAAAUUCUCCUAUUAUGUGAUCAAUUGACAUAGUCUAGCUCUCCAAGAGUAUACAUCGAAUUCAAAUUAAGAAAUUACUAUGAUGAUAGUUUUAUUGAUCACAUGUUCUUAGGAUCACUCAAACACUAUAAUAAAUAUCAAUUUUUAUCAUGAAAGUGAUUGUCAUAGAUAAACAAUAAUUUGUACUAUUAGUGCAUUAUGACAAAAAAAAUAAUAAUUUGUCAUUAGGUUUGUAGACACAGUCGCAUCAAUGAAAGUUAUGAUCCGCAAAUUUUCUGUUUCAUCAUGAAAAAUUAAGUGUUGGUGGUGAAAUUAGAACUGUCAUUGAAUAAUCACAUUUUAUGAUGUGGAAAAUCGUCAUAGAAAAUAACAAUUUUUUUCACUAGAUCCUACCAUUUUUUCACUAAAAGAUAUAUUUUUUGUGAAAAAAAAUGAUAUAAUUUUGUCACCAAACAUAUAUUUUUAUGAAAAAAGCGUUCAUCAUGAAAGAGGUAUCUUUAGUGACAAAUAUAAUUUUGUAGCAAAAGAUUUCUUUUGAUGAUAAUUUAUUGUUAUCACUUUGGAAUAUUUUAUAAAGCUCGAGUCAAUUUCUAAAUUCAAGAUGUUAAUAUUAACUUGCGAUUCUUGUGAUUUGAACUCAUGACCUUUCACUCUAAAAACACUUAUUUUAACCAUAUCAUCGAUAAACCAAUUGAUGUUUAAAAAUGUAUUCUAUAUUUUUAAUUGAAUUCAAAAUUAUAAAUAUUUAUACAUUAAUCUUAAAUUAGGAUUAUUUUGCAUAUUCAUAUUAAUGAGGUAAUAAAAGGUUGAGAAAAAAAAAAUAAAGAUUGCAAAUCAAAUUUCAUAAAAUUAUCAAUUCUUAUUUGCAUACAAACAUUAUUAUCUUUAAAAAAUGCUAUGAAUAUGGAACUAACUGGGGUACAAAAGUGAGUUGCAAAUAAUUAGGACAACAAGAAUAGUACCUUAAUAAAAUCCACGCGUCCUCUUUUACCUUUUGUUUAUUACUUUUUCAUUAAAUAGGGAAUUAUUUUUUUGAAAAAAAAAAUGUUCACUAAAAGUUACAUCAACUCUACUAUGGGCCACUCUAUAAUGGUUUUUGCUUCCUGAUGUUUUGGAUACAACAAUGUAAGAUCAAACUGGUUGGCUCUAUGGAUCCACAACAGAAGACAUCCUCACAGGAAUGAGGAUACAUUCAAAAGGUUGAAAAUCCAUUUGAAUUCUUUCAUGGGGUCUACAGUCAAUUCCCGAGCUUUGCCAGCAUAUUGCAUCAUGGUCGGCUCACAUUUCUUACCUAAGGAGAUGAAAACAAAAACCAUUUAGCUUUCUACAUAAAUAACAUUCUUACUUCACCAACCGUUGUUUUAUUAUCAUUUGAUGGUCCUAUUGAAAAUAACUUAAUUCUAAAUAUUUUCUACUUUAAAAAUGUAACUGGCCACCAUACCUAAAAUCUCAAGCUAGUAAUGUAAAAAAAAUGUGCCCAAUGAUGUAGGUCCAAGAGCUAGCUGUGUUGAUACCAAUAUCUCUCUUUGUCAGUUACAACUUUGACACUAUUGGAACAUAGUAGGGUUGGGCUUUCAAUCCGAGCAUGCUGGAACAACUUAAGGAUGGGGAGAAUAACCCUAGUGACUUCAUGGUUAUUUUGAUUUUUCAGUGUCAUUCUAAAACUCCUGGGUUGUUGGAGACCGUCUUUGAAGUUACAAAAAAGGAUGUUGGCGGGUUCACCUUUUAUGGGUCCCUGAUUUUUGUUCCAGCCACUACUCUUGUGUUGUUGCAUAUGGUAGCAGUGGUUGUUGUUGAUACCUAGUCAAUGGAGAAUUGAUUCCUUCUUCGAAGUGACAGUGGAAGCUUCUAUUCAAACACUAGAAUCUGGACUUCCUGCUUUCCUGCACAAAGAUGUUCAAACGGGUUGUUUGGACACACCCUCCGAAGCUUAAGUCAGAUUGGAAGCCCUUAGAGAGAGAGAAAGAGAGAGUUGGUUCGAGAACUUAUCUCCUCCCCCUGUUUUAUUGUAGUAGGGUUUUUAUAAUGUUCCGCGGUGAAAAGAGGGCUCAGCGGUGCUGAGUUAGCCCUGGUAAUGAAGAUUGCAUAGUAGUGAUAGGGCAAUCAUUACAUUUAUAGGGCAAUUGGGGGCUAUGUUAGGCAGCACGUCAUGAUAUAGCUUGUCAUUCCUCCAACCUUGCACCUAUCGAGGUAGACGUAAGGAUGAGAAGAGUCCCAUCAGUCAAUCUGGUGUUAGUUGGGCAGGGUCUAGCAUAUCAGAAAAGAUUUGAGGCUAUCAAAGAGGUGAGGGUUGCUUGGCAGCGCAAAUGAUCUAGGCAAGAUGCCCCAGAGUACCUUGAAGGUUGUCCGAACAAUGAUGAAAGAUGUGACAUGUGGCCUAACCGAAAGAAUGACACGUGGAUAGACACGUGGAAGUAUUCGUGGGUGGACACGUGGGAUAAGGUCCCUACAAUGCCCUCUUCAACACUUGCACUUGUGUCCGGGCAAGAAUGGAUGGGUUGAAACUGUCCUCUGGAGUCCCCCAGUGUGAGUAUGACACAUGUCAACCAUUUAUUGGGGGACACUUCCUCAGAGGCGUUCUGCUAGGUGGCGUGUCGCUUCGGGUUAUACAGUUUGAUGGCUAUCUUUUAGGAUCCCUAGGGUUUUGGUUCCUUAUAAAUAAGGAAACCUUAAGCCUUUUGGGUUUUUACUUGGACGUUUUUUAUUCUAAAAGCUUUUCCUUAUGCCAUUACCCUUCUGUAUUCUGUGUUUUCUGGUCACCGUCGUUCUAUCGCCCUUUCAUUCAUUAUCUCGGACAUCUCUUGCAUCUUGUUCUAUAGCGACUCCAGUGGCUGUUCAACUUCUCGAUAGCCUCGUCAUUUUCACCAGUUUUGGUUCAGAAGGCGUAUCUUUUUCCAGCAGUGGUCCUUGAGACUUGUGGUAAGAUUUCUUUCCCAUAUUGGUUCUCUGUCUUUUCUAUUUGAUUGGUUGUAGUUAGGGAUUUGUUGGAUUUUGCACUGUUUGUUUGGUAGUGGUGUAUAGAAUGAAUUAUGCGUAGUUCUUUUCUAGUGAGAGAGGCCAUUGUUGGAGAUUAAUGUGGUCCUAAUAGGAUUGAGAGUGUUGUAGUUGGGUCAUGGUCAAAUGGGGAGAUCCUUGGAUGGGGUCUAUCCUAUAGGUUGAGCUCAGGCUCUGCCCGGUUACAGGCUUUGAACAAGUGUAGGUUGGCCUUUAUACAUCUAAGGCAUUGUUUUGAGAACAGGAGGGUUGGGUGACUACUCUUUAAUAUUCGGUCCUUGUGCUGUGCAGGUUCUACUCGGCCCACCAUAUUAGAAUGGCAUCUCGAGGGGGUGACACUUCUACCAAUGCGACUGGUAAGGACAAGAAGAAUGUUCGACCAAGAGAAGUUGUCGGACGAACACAGUCGAGGAAGUCUAUUGAACAACUUAAUGUACGGGAGUUCAGGGAGCGCUUUCGUACUCCGAUUAGCAUUCUGAUUCGUUUUUUGAGUAGUGACCCAGUGUCAACCAAGCAGGAGCCCGAUGCCAUUGUUUUUAGUAAGGAGCACUUCAACGUCAGGUUUCAAUUCCCUCUCAUUUCCCUGUUCAAGCAGUUUCUUCACUUCACCAAGAUUCCUCCAGUCUUCCUCCACCCAAACGUAAUUAGGGUACUGAUGGGGUGUAGCAUUCUGAGUAUGCCAUACCAUUUGGACCUUUUCUUACUAGAGGUCCUAUUUAUCUACACCAUCAAGAUAAGCGGAAAGAAAAUUUUUAGCUUAUUUUCUCAUAUUCCAUCUCUUCAACUGGUGACCAGACUCCCAGAUUCCACCAAGAGAGCAACUAAAGGAUGUGUUGUUGUUUCAGGCCCUUGGUUGGCCCAUAUGAGCAUCUAGAUAACCCAUUUGAGCCUCGUUGUUCGUUAGGGAUUUUGGGUAUAGUAAACCGUCGUACUCUUGCUUUGUAAUUCAUAAUUAUAGGAUUGCUGCUAACGUACAUUAUCUGGUGUACUAUAGAAAAGAUGAGGAGAGGUCGACUGGUAGAGUGGGUGGACAAGACUUUUUUUCGACCGGCUGAACAAAUUAUUCAUGAUUUCUGCUAGAAAACGGAAUCAUGAGACUCUAUUGAUUGAAGAAAAUUUACUGAAAUUGGUUCGAGAUCCGGUGUCAUACUUCAUUUCUUCCUCUCUUCCACAUUUUGCACCCAGAGUGGUGGUGCCCAACAAACAUUAUGUGGUGAAUGAUCUUCCUUUUUAUGCAGAGGCCCGGGCAACACACAAGAGGAAAAUGCUGGACCGGUUUGCCCAAAGAGAGAAGAAACACUAAGAUGGGACUCUGAGACAAGCUCUGGGUAGGAUUCAUCCAACCACCAGUUCUAUUGCUCGUCCUCCUCCUAAGAAGAAGUCCUUUCUUCAGCCUGCCGAGAAGACCUUGGAUUUAUCUCCGCUCACAUCCUCUCAUUUGUCUCCUUCAUCCUUAGCAAAGGUUGGCGUCGAUCAAGGCUCAUCCGACUCGCCUUCUGUGGGGGUCAGUUCGGACCAGGAGAUUGAGCCAACUGUGUCCUUCAUCAACCUAGAGCCAGAAGAAGAAGAAGAAACAGAAGAUAUGGCUCCAAAUCUGAGGGUCGGCUUCAAGGAAAGGCAUUGUAAGCGCAUAUUCAAGGCACUUCUGGCCAUACUCCUGCCUGUUAAGAAAAGUCGUCCGGAGGCCUCUCGUGAGGAAUCGGCUCCGGACACUCCUACGGGGCAUGUGCCCCCUUUUGAAGCAGCCCAACCCUACUUAGAGUUAAUAGUGGGGCCUCCUUCAGAUGACGCUUGUCUAGUAGGAGACGAGGUUCCUACAGCUGCUCCGAGCAGCAAAAAUAAGGGAAAAGAGGCUUUGGCUAUUCCUUCGAGCUAGGAGGAUGUCGUAACGUUACUAAAGACAGUUCCCUACUUUACGACGCUUGAGCUCCUAACUUUAGGCAUGAACGAAUUCUUUCCAUUAUCUCAUCGCCAUUUCGUCAACCUAGGCGGCAUCCCUCAUAUGGUCGGCAUGGUUUAACCCUCAUAUGUUGUUCUAGACUUUGAACUUCGAUGCACUUAUCUUCUGCUGAAGUACACUACUGAAGAGAUGGUGAAAGUGGUAGGCUUUAUUCUUCUUCAGCCCAAGUUUGCCUAAUCAUUCUGGUUCUGACAUCUAUUUUACUAUUGUUUCAAGGAGAUGGCUGCUAUUCAUAACUUGAUGCGAUAGUGAAGCUCACUUCUCAAAUGGUUAGAGAUUGCGGAGAGUAUGCCGGUAUUUCUUACCCAACAGGUAGAUACCAAUGAAGAACUCCACUCUCAACUUGGUCGGGUAUAGAGCGAGUUGGUCGCAGCUCGGAUAGCAACCGUUGAUAUAGAGAAAGGUAUGAGGCGGCUACAAGAGGAGACAUAGGCGGCGAAGUCUAAGGCUUGCCGGAUGGAAGAGGAAAAAGACGCUGUAGAGGCCAAAUGCAAAGGCGCUGAGCAAGAGAGUGAUCACUUGAAGAAGGAGCUCGAAGAGUUUUAGGCAGCCUCCGAGGCUCAAAAGAAACAACUUGAGGAGCUUCGAGUCGGAUUCACUACUGAGAAGGAGGCACUAACUAAAGAUUAUCAGAAGUAGGUGGAUGAGAUGUUCUUAUUCGGCUAUCAGUGCUGCUUGAGGAAGAACGACAUCACGCAAGACAUCCCCACCUAUCCUUCGGAUUACGAGGAAGACACAGUAGUAAGUGGUCCCACCCUAGGAGAUAAAGAUACGGAUGCUCCUGGUCCCUUUACUGGGCAAUGACUUUCAUAUUUUUCAUUUCUUCCAUCCGAACUUGUAAUGAAUUUUUCAUUUAUCGAUAUACACAUUCCACGCUUGGAGCAGGGGUGUUAUGUCUAGCAUUUACAGAUAGUAAGCCCCUGAAUCUCCAGCUUCAGAUACAAUGUAAGGUCCUUCCUAAUUUUCUUGGAGCUUCCCGACUUCCUGUUCAGCCGUAUUCUCAAAGACUUUUUUUAGGACAAGAGUCCCAACCAUGAAGGUAUGUAGUCGGACCUUCCAAUUGUAGUGGGCAACAACUCGUUGCUGGUAAGACGCCAUCUAGAUGGCUACGUUCCCUCUUGCUUCAUCUGCCCAAUCUAGGUGUCUUUCAAGUUCCGUACAUUCGUUUCUCUGGCCUUGAAUGGUAAUCCGAGCUGUGGGCAUGCCUAUCUCUAUUAGGAUAAUCGCAUCCAUCCCAUAGGGUAGGGCAAAAGAGGUGGUUCCCAUUGGUCGUCCGGGUGUUGUCCGAUAGGCCCACAAGACUCUAGGCAGUUCAUCAACCCACAUUCUUUUGGCUUUCUCCAACAAUUUCUUUAGUGCAGAAAGCAGAGUCUUGUUUGUUGCUUUUACUUGCCCGUUGCUUUGAGGAUACCGAGGAAUGGAAUACAAGUUUUUGAUUUUCAGCUUUGAGCAUAAGGUUCUGAAGGCAAUGCUAUCAAACCGUGGCCAAUUAUUAGCUAUAAUUGCCUAUGGGAUUCCAAAUCGGCAAAUGAUGUUUUUCCAAAGAAACUCGGAAACGUAUUUGUCUUUGAUGGUGGCAUAUGCUUCUACUUCUACCCAUUUGUUGAAGUAAUCAGUGGCUAUAAGCAAAAACUUUUUCUACGCAACAGCGAUGGAUAGGGGCCCCACUAUGUUCAUUCCCCAUUGCGCAAAGGGUCAAGGGCUUGUGACCGGAUUUAGGUCAUCAAAGGGCAUGUGGGGAAUGGGAGCGUGCCUUUGGCACCGAUCACACCUCUUGACAUAGUUCGCAGCACCUUGUUUCAUGGUAGGCCAAUAGUAUCCUUGUGAAUGAGCGUGAUGUGCUAAGGUUUGUCCCCCUGCGUGAUUGCCACAUACGCCUUCAUGUAGCUUUGUCAACACAUACUGUGUCUUCAUGUUGUUUAAGCAUCUGAGGUACGAACCUCUAAAGGAUUUCUUGUAGAGGAUAUCCCCAAUCAAAGUGAAGCGGGCUGCUUGCACUCGUAUGUUAUGAGUCUGCUUACUUUCUUCAAGAAGACUUUCGGUCCGGAGAUAUGUCUCAAUUUUGUUCAUCCAGCCAACGCUUACUUCAUUAGUGGAGCACACAGAUGCGACAACUAUGGAUGACGUAUCCUGGAUGUAGAUGGCCAGUAACAUUGCUUUUUCACAAGGAGAGUAGCUACUAUUCCAACUAAGGCGUCUGCCUAGGUGUUUUCUGAGCGGGAGAUUCUCUUGGUGACCCAUUUGUUCAAUUUGUCCAAGCUAGUUUGUACAUUUGAAAGGUACCAAGCCAUGCGCUCGUCCUUAGCUUCAUAUUCUCCUUGAAUUUACCUAACAACUAGCUAGGAGUCACUGCGUAUUUCGAGCUUGGAUGCUAACAAAGUUAGAGCAAGGCUAAGUCUAGCGAGGAUUGCUUCAUACUCGGCCUCAUUAUUAGAGACUAGGAAUCCAAGCCAAAUAGCCUACUCCAAUUGCUCUCCGAUUGGGGAUUGCAAGAGGAGACCCAUUCUGGAUCUUAAGGCUUAGGAUACCUCGUCGAUGUGCAAUAUCCACCACCUCUUUUCAGGAUAGUUUGCACCAUGAUGAGGUUUUUGGGGUGUUUCAGCUAUGAAGUCAACCAUGACCCGUCCUUUCAUUGCCAGCCUAGGUUAAUACUUGAUUCCAUACUCACUUAGUUUAAUGGCCUACCUUAACCGUCUCCUGGAUAGGUCUGGUUUGUGCAGAAUGUUUCUGAGGAGUUGAUUUGUGAGUAUAAUCACUUGAUGAGCUUGAAAGCAAGGGCGGAGGUUUCGCGCAACACUCCUCAAGGCUAAGGCUGUUUGUUCUAUUUUCGAAUACCAGGUUUCUGCGUCAACCAUUGUUUUGCUUACGUAGUAGACGAACCUUUGCUCCUUGUCAUCUACGCAGCGGAAUAGAACAACACUGACAACACAAUCAGAUACUGCUAAGUACAUAUAUAAUUGCUCACCAGGUCGAGGACUGAUUAGAAUGGGUGGGUGAGUGAGAUAGCGUUUAAUCUUCUCGAAUGUUAGCUCGUAGUUAGUUGUCCACCCUACCGUGCUAGUUCAUUUCAGUGUGAGGAAGAAGAGCCUUAACUUGUUUGUAAAUCAGGCUAUGAAGCCUCCUAAUGUAGCCAGACGGCCUAUGAGGCGUUGUAGCUCCUUUUUGCAACUUGGGACAGAUGUUUCCAUGAUACCUUUAAUUUGGUAUCGAUUGGCCUCUAUGCCUUGUGUAACCAUGAACCCUAAAAUCUUGUCUACACUAACCCCAAAUGCGCAUUUGGCCGGAUUAAGUUUCAUAUUGUACCAUUUCAUCAAGUGAAAGAUUUCUUCUAAAUGCUAGGCAUGCUCAAUCCUGGUCCUGUUCUUCACCACAAUGUUUUCAAUAUACACCUCUAUCGUGCGUUUGAUUAAAGGUUUGAAGAUCUUCGUCAUCAACCGUUGGUAAGUGGUCCCAACAUUCUUGAGUCCAAAUGACACGACUUUGUAGCAAAAGAGUCUGUGUGGCAUUAUGAAGACGGUUUUCUCUUCAUUUGGUUGAUACAUAGGGAUUUGGUGGUACAAAAAAAAAACGUCCAGGAAGGAGAGCAUUCCAUGUCCGGCAGUUGAGUCAACUAUUUGGUCUAUUCAUGGUAAUGGGAAGCUAUCUUUUGGGUAGGCAUCAUUCAAGUUGGUGUAAUCGACACAGACCCGCCAUUUGCCUUAUUUUUUCGGGACAACCACUACAUUCGCCAACCACUCUGGAUACUCUAUUUCCCUGAUGAAUCCAACCGCCAGUAACUUUUCUACCUCGACUUGGAUGAAUUUUUGCCUAUCCGAGUGGAAGCAUUGGACCUUCUGGCAAAUAGGUCGUGAGGAAGGGACAACAUUGAGUCGAUAUAAGGCUAUUGAUGGAUGAAUGGAUUUCGAGCAUAUCGAAAUGGGUCCAUGUGAAGACACCUUUAUUACGCUAAAGUACCUCUAUGAGAGCUCUUACUUCUUCCGUCAUGAAGAGUGAGCUAAAAUAGGUGAAGUGAUCAUUUUCUUUUAAGAGAUGUAUGAUCUACAGGGGGUCGGCUGUUAGCAAAUCUCUUUCCACCGAGCACUAUAAUUGCUAUUGUUCCUUUGUACUAGUUGGUUCAGUAGGAGGCUUAGGAACACUUGUGGACCCGAAUUCUCAUGUUACUUGGUAACAUUGUCAUGCCGCUAAUUGGCUUCCAAAAAGGUUAACCUGUCCAUCCUCAGUCAAGUAGCUCACUAUUUGGUGAUAUGUGGAGGGGAUGACCUUCAUGCCAUGCAACCAUGUGCGUCCCAUGAUGGCGUUGAAAUGGGACAAGUCUUCUAUGAUUGAUAACAGCACAUUGAGGACCACUAGCUCAACUUGGACAAGUAGCACGACAUAUCCCAGAGAUGUCGUUGACACUCCAUUGAAUCCUAACAGUAUCUGUCCGGGAUUUUCUAAAGCGAAUGGUGAGAACCCCAUUUGUUAGAACGCGGACAUCUGUAACAAGUCGGCUGAGCUGCCUGGAUCAACUAAGAUCCGCCUUACAUCGAAAUCAUUGAUUCCCAACGUCAUGAUGAGGGCGUCUUGAUGCAAAUGUAAUACCCGAUUGGGGUCUACUAGGGGAAAAGUGAUUGUCCCAUCUAUUAGGCGUACCCCCCCUUCAGUCAAUCAUGGUUGGAUUGAGUUAAUCCGUUCUCGUAUGGAGGCGGCUCGGAGCAACCUUUGUCUCUUCCGCUUAGAGUUGUAUUCCUCAUCGACGGGCCCUCCAUGGAUGUAAUUGAUCAUGGCUCUAGGAGUUGCUGAAGUUGUAGGGGUUUGAGCAUCCGGAUCUUGGUUUGUCUGUGCUCGUCUCCUUUUUGAGCAGACGUACUGCUUUAGGUGUCCGACUCUUACCAGUUUUUCCAGUAGGUAAUGGAGACUUCUGCAUUGCUCCAUGGUGUGGUCAUGUUCCUUAUGGCAAGCACACUUUCUACUCCAAUCCCGCUUAGUAGGAUCCGUCUUGAUGGUUUCUAGCCAUCUAAAAUCAGCCAGAUCCCGGAUCAAAGGGAAGAGCUUGUCGUAUGAAAUGUUGAGGGGGGUGAGGCUGGCUUGGCUUGACUAAUGUCGUCCGCCUUACCCUCUUCCUACCUACCUUCGUUGGCUUGUAGUCUUAGAGCCCUUGGGUGAGUCAUUCCUAGCAAGUUGACUGGUGACCAGAACCUGCUGGGUAGCUGCACGGACAUCGUCUUUGAGCAUGGAGUACUUGUUUACUCGUCUGAAUAGAUCGUCCAUAGUUAUAGGAGGCUUUUUUGCGAAAAAUUAAAACAAGGGUGUACCUGGGCAACUACUCCUCUUAAAGAUUUGCAAGACGACAUCCAUGCUAUAAAAUUCUACUUGAAGUACAACCUGCCCAAAAUGCUUUACAAACUCCCUCAAUGAUUCAUUCUCCUGCAUUUUUACAUUUUACAAGGUAUUGAUGUUUUUUUUUAUGUCAUGCUGAGCACAGGUAUUGUCCCACGAAGGCCUCCGAUAGAUCUCGGAAGUUAUCGACGAAAUUCAUCGAAAGACGGUGGAACCAUGAGAGAGCCUGACCUUGGAGGCUGGCUGGAAAGACCUUGCACAGUAGCGUAUCAUUCCCUAUGUCAAGGGUCAUGAGCUGCCUGUAGUGCAUGAUAUGGUCGAAUGGAUCACUGGAUCCGUCAAAUGCAGAGAAUUUUGGAAUUAUGAACCCUCGUGGGGGCUCAUAGGUGAUGAUGUCAGGGGUGAAAAGCGUGGAGAACAUAUCAUCCAAUCGCCUACUGGCAAAACCGGGGGGACCUCUGUUUGUCAAACCCCCUACUGGUUGUUGUGUUGGCAUAUGGGGGAGCCAGUCUGUGAUGAUAGGUGCAGUUAAGGGGCUAAGAUAUGCUUCAUGGGCCAUUGCUUCAUAUAGUUUCCCCAUUAUGUUAAGCGUCUGAGGCCCUAGCCUUGUGUGCAUUAUGUCUGAUAGUUGGGACUUCCUAUCGCGUCUUCUCUUUGUUGAGACACGAGUGGAAUUUGAGCUUUCAUCCUACUGCGCGUGAUAGGCUGAUAGAGAUCUUUGUUCAGGUAUUCUUUCUGGUUCAUUGGAGGGGAACCCUGUGUUUCUAAGAUAUGUUGCCUCCUCGUUUUACCUAGAGUUCACUUGCUGACUUCUUGGUUGUCGGCUACGAGGAGGGCCCGAUGAGGAUACCUGAAUACGCAACACGUUGUUUUCUUCCUCGAGUCUCCUUGUCUCUUGGAACAGAGCUUGCACUUGUCGUUCACUCUCUCGUUGGCGUAUCUCCAUACUUGCACGCCAGCCAAAGUAACUCUCGUCACCCAUGGCUGUUGAGCAACUUCUAGAGGGUGUUGAUAUUUUUGUUCUGCUUCCCAUAGACGGUGCCAAUGUUGAUACCUAGUCAACGGAGAAUUGAUUCAUUCCUUGAAGUGAUAGUGAAAGAUUCUAUUUAGACGCUGGAAUCUGGACUUCCUGCUUCCCUGCACAUAGAUGUCCGGACGGGUUGUCCAAAUAUACCCUCCGAAGCUUAAGUCAUAUUAGAAGCCCUUAGAAAGAGAGAGAGAGAGAGAGAGUUGGUUCGAGAACUUAUCAUUUCCCCCUGUUUUAUUGUAGUAAGGUUUUUAUAAUGUUCUGCGGUGAAAAGAGAGCUUAGGGAUGCUGAGUUGGCCCUAGUAAUGAAGAUUGCGCAGUAGUGACAGGGCAAUCAUUACAUUUGCAAGGCAACUAGGGGCUAUGUCAGGCGACACAUCAUGAUAUAGCUUGUUGCCCUUCCAAACUUGCACCUACUAAGGCAGACGUAAGGAUGGGAAGAGUCCCAUUAGUCAAUCUGGUGUCAGUUGGGCAAGGUCUAACAUAUCAGAAAAGAUUUGAGGCUAUCAAAGAGGUGAGGGCUGCUUGGUAGCGCAAAUGAUCCGAGCAAAAUGCCCCUAGGUACCUUGAAGGGCGUCCGAAUAGUGAUGAAAGAUGUGACACAUGGCCUAACCAGGAGAAUGCCACAUGGAUAGACACGUGGAAGUAUUCGUGGGUGGACACAUGGGAUAAGGUCCCUACAGUUGCAACCUUGAUAUGACCAUCUCAUGUUGGGGUUGAAUCAAGAAUAGGAGAGGUAAUAUGUAGUGUAUGGCUACUACUAUGCUUCUUGCCAUUUUUGAAAGGCCUAUUUGGGAAAUGAAAAAAAUGAGAUACCUACAUCCACCAUAUGCAAGUCAGCAGCUUUGGCACUGUUUUUUCUUGCUUUCAUUAUUAUAGGUAAAAGAAAGAGUUUCAAGAAAUUCAAUUGAAACGAGGGAAUCUUUACUUUGUUAUGACAUGCAUCAUCCCACUGGUUUAAUAUAAGGCAAAUUUAAACCUUUCUUGAGUCCAUUUUUCUUCUCCCGAGUCUUACCUUUUUUACUUUCUUCUUCUGCCAAGUGCCAACAAAAUGGUAUUUUGACAUUUUUCUUUUCACCACAACUACAGCUAUAACUUUGUGGGUGAAAUGAAAUCAUGAUCAUGUUGUUAAACCACCAAUUUAAUCUAAAACCAUACAAAACCAACUUGAGUAUUUUAAUCAACCUUUUGCUUUCAUGUAAGUUUAGUAAAUAGAAAAAAUAAAUAUUUUGGUUUCCUAUCAAUUAAGGCUAUGAUAAAGUAUCAAUUAAAUUGCUUGAAAGCCUAGCAUUAAUAAGGAAUUAGAGUGCGUUUGUUGGGCUUUUAGAUGAAGUAUUUUUUCUAGAAGGAUUUUUGGUAGAAUUACUAUCAAGACUGAUAAAUGAUUUUUCAACAAGCUUGCCAAAUUGGCUCUUAGCAUGUGUCAUGCCCGACAAUGCAUUUCAUAUUUUCUCAAUUCAAUAUAAAUAUUCAAGUUUCUCAUUUUGAUUAAAGUUCCUCAAUUACAUGCUUUUCUAGUACUCAAAAGACCUUGUUUGGAUAUUUAAUUUUUUAAAACAUGUUCUAGGUUUCCUCUUUUUACUAGUUUUGAAUUCCUAUAGAUUAUCUUCUUCCGUUUGUGUGCAACUUCUAUAUACAACUCUUUCCAUCUUCUCUCAUCGCCGAAACCAUGCUCCUUAGAAGAGGCAAGGUUAUGUGUAACUUGUAUAAAUUCAUAUAAUCAAUCCAAGAAUGUUAAUCCAAGAAUUUUGAGGUCAGUCUUUUCAUUAUAUCUUCUUUAUGAUAUCAGAGUAGGAUUGUCAUGCCUCGAAUUCUGGGCAACCCAGAAUUCGACUCGUGACCUUAGCUCAAAGGUUUGAACCUAAGGGUUAUGUCUAUCCAAGUUGGCAAUCAGUCUUGAAAAUUAACCUGAUUUUUUUUUUUUUUAAAAAAACAAAACAAAAUAACAUCUAACCUCAAAUAAAUUUACUAACCUAAGACUUACUAUAUCAUAGUAUUUUACUUCAUUUUAUUUAUCUCCAAAACCAACCAUUACUUGUUCAUAAGUAUAAUAAAUCCACCUAUCAUUUUUCCACACUAGAUAAUAACCCAAAUAGUUACAAUAAUCUUUAAGUCAAAAAGAAUAUUUCCAAAAAUGUUUUACAAACUAACAAAAUAUAAUUUAAGUUAUAAAAGUCCAUAUAACUCAAAUUAGUACAUUUCAAAAAGGUAAUAUAAAUGAAAAACAACUAAUAUUAUGGUUCUCUUACUUUCUGGGGCUUUCUGGAACACUUCCUGAUCUUCUUAUAGUUCUUUAAAAACUAUAUCCGUAUUUAAAAAUUUUAGAAAAUAAAGGGUGAGCAUUUCCACAUUACUUAAUAGGGUGUUUUAUACCCCAAAUGGGUUAUAAAUUAUAGGUCAAUAAAAUACAAUCACUUAUUAAAAUAUAAUAUUAUAUCUAUAUUGUAUACAUUAAAUGAAUCACAACUAUACAAAUUUAAACCAAUCAAAAUUAUCGCUUCUCUUAUUCAAUCAUAUGCCUAACAUAUCAACAAUUCUAAAUUCACCAAAAUAAACAAUUCAUUUUAGUUUCGAAUAAAAUAUUUGAAACAUCCUGUUAAUAAAUAAUAUCAAUCAUUCUUUCAAAUGUAACAUGAUGCAAAUGCUUACACACAAUCAUGCAAUACAUUGUUGUUCUCGAGUUUUCACUUAAAUAUACGCAUCCGUACCCAAAUACACUCCCCAUUCGAAGUCUUUCCAAGGUAAUAAACUUUUGGGUCUUUCACCAUAGGGAUCUCACUCUCUUCUUAAUUCACCUCUCACGGACCUUUCAUUUCUCAUUUCUUUUUUCCUUUCAUUUUUGCCUCUUUGAGGUCUUUUCAUUCUCAUUUCCAUUUCACACAACCAUUUCUUCAUUUUUCUCUUUCUUCACACAACCAUGAUGCAUAUGAAGGGCAAUCAAAUCAUAUUUUAACAUCCAUAAUUUUUUAGGACAUAAUUCUAUUUCCUCCCAUUAUAUUUCAUAAUUUUCAACAAUCCACACAACAAUUUUUCUUCACUUUAAUCACGACAAACAUCAAAGAAAAUUCACAAUUAAUUUGUAUAGCAUCAAAACAUAGUUUUAAACCUUAACCACAUAAAUUCUAUUUAUUCCCUACAUGCUUAAUAAUUUUCAACAACUAAUAUAACAAUUUUUUUUCUUCAAUUAAAUAACCACACAUAUCCAAGAAAAUUCUCACUAAUACAAAUAUCAACAAAAACAUAAUUUAUGUCAUAAUAUAUUUACCUCCAAUAAUCUCAAUAAUUUUAACACCCAAUACAACAAUUUUCCACAAUUAAGCCACCACAACGUUCGGGAAAUUUUUUCCAAUAAUUCAAAUAUUAACAAAAACCCAAUUUAUAUCAUCAAUUUAUUCAUUUAUAAUAAUAUUAAUAAUUUUAAAACAAUCAUCUUAAACAUAUCUCAAUACUCAAAAUUUUGAACAAAUAAUUUUUAUUAUUUUCAACACUAACAUAUCACCAAUAAAUUUAUAUAAUUUCUAACAUGACAACAAUCAUAAAAAUAUACUAACCAAUAUUCCAAUAAUUUUUUUUUUCACAACCAGAACAAUAUGGUUCAUUCUAUCACGAGAAUAACAAUUAAAUACCAACAAUUAUAAUAUUUUUAUAUUGCAUUAAACUUUCAUUUGCUUCACAUUUAACAUUUUCAAAGCAAAACUAAAUCAUUUUACACGUUUAGGGUUUCCAAAAACAACCUAAAAGAAAACUAUAUGACGAUCUACUACACCCAACAACUCACCCAUUUCCAUGGAGGUUUUUGAAAAUAAAUAAAAGUAAAACGAAAAGCCCCAAAAAAGUCGAGAGAGAAAUUUAGGAAAAACACACCCCUACCUGUACAGUAAAACCCAAUUGUAUGAUCGAAAAUCUGAUUUAGUAGAAUAAAAUAAUAUUUUUGAAUAAAGUUAUAAAAUAUUAUAAUAUUUUAAUUAUUUAUAAAAUAUAUUUAUUUUAAUGUGAAUAAAAAAAUUAAAAAAAAAUUUAAAAAUAUAUAUUUUAAAAAGAAUCUAAAAAAAUUCAAAUAAAAGUUUAAUAGGACGAGAUGAGGUGGGUAUGGGAAAUUCGUAUACUUGUCUUGUCCUAUUUAAUUUUUUUAAUGAGAUGAUGAUAAAAAUUAUUUGAAUAAAUGGGACGGGGUUGGGACAGGGAUAACCCAUCUCUAAUCCAUUUUGUUGCCAUCUCUACAUGAUUGAAGAGGAUAUUUUUUGACAUGCAAUUUUUCUUAUAUUUUAUGUUAUUUUCAAAACUCCUUGUGCAUUAGAGUUGUAAACAUGAAUGAUUAAUUGAAUAAAUGAGGAUAAAGAUAAUGUCACAUCAAUAUGCAUUCCACAAAAAGGAAGAAAUUGAGUGGGAGCAUGUACCGGCUUCAUCAGCCGGCAAUCAUGCAAAAUUUGGUUGAUAUUUACUUCUAUUGUGGACUUUACACCAAGUUUACUCUAUCAUAUGGGCCAAUUAUCCAUCUCUAUCGCCCUAAAGCAUCAGUAUCCCCUAUUUGUCUUUUUGGGGAAAAACAUAAUAACCAGGUUGCAGGGUCAAUUUGGUAGGGUACACUGUCGAGUAUUGUGGACUUGGCCGCAAAGUACGACCACUGCACCUGACAUGAUCUCUAGGCCAUGGUUUCUUCCACAUGAAUUUUCCCUUUUCUAAAUUAUGUUCAACGAUAUCAUCAUGGAGCUGCCUGCCACGCUUCUAUAAUUCAAUCUUGACUUACCUUGAAGAUCAUGCAUGCUUUUGUCUUCCACAUUCAUUUUUCCAAAUCUUUAAUGCAGCUAGAUGAUUAAUUGCAAAUUUAUGUUGAUUAACUCUUGUAUUUUUUUAUCAUGCACGAUACAAACUUAAACUCAAUCUUAAUUAUUUUACAAAUAAAAUUUUGUUAAAUUAACGACACUUCACAACAAGAAACUUUGGAUUAUUAUACAUAUGUUCUAUCAAAGGAAGUUCUACCGACAUUAUAAUUAUAACUUGGAUGAGUUAGACGAGCGAGAAGACUAAUUUGUUUCAAAUCUACUACCAACUUGUCCAACCCAAUCCAAAUCUAAUUAACUCAAGGUUGGAUCGAAAAUUAUUAACCCACUCCACGCCCUACACAACUGAGGUUCCCAUAAGUCACAAUGAGUUCUUACAAGUUAUUAAGUAAGAUGAUUAUUUUAAAGUCUAUUUCAAGUAAAAUAUAUUACAAAUACAGGUUUCCAUGGGUUGUCUAAACGAUUAAACUGUGGCAAUAUUAAUAUUUUAUGGUUGAUGGUUUUCUAUCCCAAGCACCAAGUUAACCCAUUUAAACCUUACCCACAUCAAUUGGAACUGGGGUGAACCCUUGAAGUUGCAGUCCAAAGAGACGUAAAUUAAGGUGUCCAUUAAAUUCAAAGAUUAAUAUUUAAUUACCUAAAACAACUUAUGAAAUUUUCUUUAUUUGAUGACUUAAAACUUAUCAUUUAAUCUUAAUUUUCAAGCAUCAAGAUUGUUUAAUAAAACUAAUUAAUUUUUUUUUAAGUUAGCUAUCAAGUUUAACAUAUUAACUUUUAUUAAUAUUAAGUCAUGACCAAUGAGAGAGACAAUUAAGGGAGCAAGAGAUAAUAGUUGUGAUAUAAAAUUGAUGAGAACUAUCUUGAAAACUGUUUUUGCUUUUCUUUUGACUUUUUUUACUCUAAGGAUCCUUUUUUGAUGAUAUAUGUAUGAUAAAAAAGUGAUUUUUAGAAAAACUUUUACCAAAUCUUUGUAUAAGAUGUGAUUUUAAAAUUUCUCAAAGAUAGUUUUUGAAACUUUAUCAAAUACAUAUUCAAAAUAAGUAGUUUUAGCAUUUUCAGAGUCACACCCAAAUAAACUUUUAGGCAUUCUUCACUUUAAAUAGCCUUAUUGAGUCUUAUUGACUAAUAAUACUAAUUAUAUCUAUCGGUGGGACAGCUGGGAAAUCCACGAAUGCAUGCGGUAUAUGUUGAAUAAAAUCAAUGUGUAUCAUACAUUACACAUUUAUAUUGUAGUAGUAAUAAUAGGAAUAUGGCUGUUUAAUUAGGCUACACUAGUAUGUCCAGUGAGAAAAAACAAGAGGAAAAUUGAAAAAUUACUGUUGGGUUUGCUCUGCAAGGAAUGGCCAGCACAACUAUAAAGCCAUUUAUGUAACGCCCAAGUUUUUUUUUAAAAGGGUAAUUUAGGAAAUUCAUAAUAAUGAUAUUAAAUUAAUUAAUUAAUUAAUUUAAUAAAAUGGAAGAGGGGUGAAAAUGUAAUUUUACGAAUAAUACCCUAGGUAUAAAUAGAAAAUUAUCUUCUUCCUGUUCUUUUCUGAAUCGUAUUCCUGUUCGCAGAAAGUUUUCAGAGAACGUGAAGUUGAGGCCAGAUUUCAAGGUUUGAAGAACAAACCUCUAUAGGUAAGAUUCUAAUCCCUAGAUUAUUAUUUUAGAUUCAUUAGUUAAUUUCAAGCACAUUAGAUAUAUUUCUUUUGGAAAACCCCAAAUCUAGAUUAGGGUUAGUUUAUUUUUUUUUUAAUUUGUUUUAAUAUCAAAUAGUGAAAAUUUAAGAUUUUGAUUUAUUAUUGGAAUUUGGGAGAUCUUAAGUUUUUUUUUUUUUGAAAAGAAAAAAAGAUUCCUAUGAAAAUUUCGAUUUAAAUUAGGGUUAGUUUAUUAUUAUUUUUUUAUUCGUUUUAAUAUCAAAUAGUGAAAAUUUAAGGUUUUGAUUUAUUGUUGGAAUUUGGGAGAUCUUAAGUUUUUUUUAACAAAAAAAAAAAAAAAAACCUAUGUGCACUAGUUGCAUGCGUGUGGGAACUAUGCAUCCACUUUUUUUUGUAAGGAUUUCAUGGUUGAAAUCUAGUUGGUGGAUUUUCACAUACUCUAUUAUUAGACUUUGAUGGAUACUUGGGUAUGUAAUAUUUAAUAGUAACAGAACUCCGUAUUGUUAGACUUUGAUGGGUACUAGAGUACUGAGUAUUGUAUUAUUUAAUAAUGGCAGGGCUUUGUGUUAUUAAAAACAAAUUGGGAAUUUGUUAAUUUAUUUAAAUAAGGAAUAGAUUAGUUAAAUUAUAGAUAAAUUGUAAUAGUUAUUCCUCUUAUAUUUUUUUAGGUGAAGAGUAAAUUUUCAAGAUUAUUUUCUCUUCAAAGUUUUUGAGGACUUCUUUUGAAAUAAGAGAAAUUAAUGUAGUUGUUAAAUUCUUUUUUAAAACAAUUAUAUAUAUAUAUAUAUACAUUAUUUGAAAACGUUUGAGUUAUAUUCCGUUUUAUGCAUAGAUCAAACCUGUUUUGCAUGAAAAGUAUAUUAAAAUUUUAUAUUAUGUUUUUGACAAAUAAAUGUGGAGAUAUUAUAUGUUGUAAAUUUCAAUAAAGGAAAUAAAUAUUUGACUCUGGUUUGUUUGGCCCUUGUCAACGGGAUUUAAUAGUUGACUUUUGGUCCUUGUCAAUGGGAUAUAAUAGUUGACCUUUACAUUUCUUGGUGGGGAAUGUAAUUGAUUUGAACCCCAGCCUCUAGGGGUUUCAGUUAGAGGUUACUAGUACUAGUAGUGUUUGGUUCCAUCCACCUUAAAGGAACAAUUUGAGGCUAGCCACCCAUUUGAAAAGUCCCACCUAACUGGGCACCCUUUGAUGUUUGAUGACCAAAGUAAAUAAAUUAUUGGAAUGUUUUGACUAAAUUUGAUAUGAAAUUGUUUGAAUCAGAAAUAAAUACAUACAGUUAGAAAUUUUGAAUGUAUUGGAAAAAAAAAAAAAAAAUUUACUCACAGCUUUAUGAAAAUGAUUGAUUACAAUAUCUCCUAUUUUGCAAGUGAGUUUGAAAUGUUUGAUCCAUGGACUGCAUUAAUGUUCCUUAUUGGGCUGUGAGCUCAUUCCCAUUUGUUGACUACUUUUCGGAUACCCUUAGUUCGGGUGAGGAGUGAUGGCUAGGUUAAGGAAUUGUCAUCAUUAGGAUUUGACUUAGGAUUUUAUGUUGGAUUUUGUUUAACUGUUAGUUGUGUUCAUUUGGAUCUUUUGGUAUUUGGAAGUUAUUUGGAUAUUGAUCCUUCAAAUUUUAUGUUAGAUCAAAGUUAAGUUUUGGAGAUUUCGAAAUUUGUUCUAGUACUUGAAUUGUUUAAGUUUGCAACUAUUUGGACAAUGGAUUUUGGAUAGUGGAUGUUUGAGUUUUGAAAUUGAAUUUUGAGGAUUUUAGAUUUUGUUCCGCUACUCUGAACAGAUAUUUGGUAAUUGGUAACUUUCGAUUACAAGAUAAUUGUUUGGGUCAGGUUACACUGUAAGCCUUCGGGUUUGAAGUGUGAAAUGACCGUCACGCCCUUGGAGUGGGUCUUGGGGCGUGACAAUUUACACCUCCACAAAUUGCAUACACCAUCUGUCUAAUAGGGCAACUCUUAAGGUAUCCUCCUCCUUUUUCGAAUGGCCGCACCAAUCUCACCUCUCUAUGAAAAAAUCCCCCAGAAAAAUACACUCCAUAGAGCCUUGGAAUUUACCAUCUUCUUCCUUCUCCUCUCUCUCCUUGCUUAUCGUCUCCUCUCCCUCAAAAACAAUGGUUUCGCU
rnacentral:lncRNA from 1 species